rfam:Felis catus isolate Cinnamon breed Abyssinian chromosome X, whole genome shotgun sequence.
GCCUGACUGGCUCAGUCGGUUGAGCAUCUGACUUCAGCUCAGGUCAUGAUCUCAAGGUUUAUGGGUUCAAGCCCCAUGUGAGUCU